rnacentral:misc_RNA from 1 species
GUUCAUGAAAGAAAUAAUAGUUUAAAAAAAAGGCCUUACAACAAGCAUUUGGCAAUAGUAUUCUCAAAUUUUCCCCCCUGUUUCCCUUCUUUUUUGAUGAAUAUGAACAGCAGAUGAACAACAUAGCUGAGUCUCAAUAUAUGUACUACCAAAAUGUUCACUGAAGACAUAGCCCAUCAAGAUCGAAACAAUGAUCCUGAUCUGAGAAAACAUUCCACAGAUAUUAAAUCAAUAAAUUACCUUUAGCGUACAAUGGUUACUGUCUAUUUCUUCAUCAAUGAAAAGCUAAGAACCUCUCCUCCACUUCACACCAACCGUCUCUUGCAAACAC